rnacentral:rRNA from 1 species
CACGUAGGGGGCAAGCGUUGUCCGGAAUCAUUGGGCGUAAAGAGCUCGUAGGCGGCUCAGUAAGUCGGGUGUGAAACCCUCAGGCUCAACCUGGGGACGCCACCCGAUACUGCUGUGGCUAGAGUCCAGUAGGGAGUGUGGAAUUCCCGGUGUGAGCGGUGGAAAUGCGCAGAUAUCGGGAGGAACACCAGCGGCGAAGGCGGCACGUCUGGGCCGGUA